rnacentral:rRNA from 1 species
GACGAACGCUGGCGGCGUGCUUAACACAUGCAAGUCGAACGAGUGGCGAACGGGUGAGUAAUGUAUGGGGAUCUGCCCGAUAGGGGGGGAUAACUACUGGCAACGGUGGCUAAUACCGCAUACUAUCGGAGGACCCCAUAUGGGAUUAGCUAGUAGGGGAGGUAAAGGCUCACCUAGUCGACGAUCUCUAGCUGUUCUGAGAGGAUGAUCAGCCACACUGGGACUGAGACACGGCCCAGACUCCGACGGGAGGCAGCAGUGGGGAAUAUUGCACAAUGGGAGCAAGCCUGAUGCAGCCAUGCCGCGUGUAUGAAGAAGGCCUUAGGGUUGUAAAGUACUUUCAGCGGGGAGGCGUUACCCGCAGAAGAAGCACCGGCUAACUCCGUGCCAGCAGCCGCGGUAAUAC